rnacentral:rRNA from 1 species
UGGGGAAUUUUGGACAAUGGGCGAAAGCCUGAUCCAGCAAUGCCGCGUGUGUGAAGAAGGCCUUCGGGUUGUAAAGCACUUUUGUCCGGAAAGAAAUCCUUGGCUCUAAUACAGUCGGGGGAUGACGGUACCGGAAGAAUAAGCACCGGCUAACUACGUGCCAGCAGCCGCGGUAAUACGUAGGGUGCAAGCGUUAAUCGGAAUUACUGGGCGUAAAGCGUGCGCAGGCGGUUUGCUAAGACCGAUGUGAAAUCCCCGGGCUCAACCUGGGAACUGCAUUGGUGACUGGCAGGCUAGAGUAUGGCAGAGGGGGGUAGAAUUCCACGUGUAGCAGUGAAAUGCGUAGAGAUGUGGAGGAAUACCGAUGGCGAAGGCAGCCCCCUGGGCCAAUACUGACGCUCAUGCACGAAAGCGUGGGGAGCAAACAGGAUUAGAUACCCUGGUAGUCCACGCCCUAAACGAUGUCAACUAGUUGUUGGGGAUUCAUUUCCUUAGUAACGUAGCUAACGCGUGAAGUUGACCGCCUGGGGAGUACGGUCGCAAGAUUAAAACUCAAAGGAAUUGACGGGGUCAUGCUG